GCGGAAGUAGUUCAGUGGUAGAACAUCACCUUGCCAUGGUGGGGGUCGCGAGUUCGAAUCUCGUCUUCCGCUUCA
rnacentral:tRNA from 2 species